CCUACGGGUGGCAGCAGUGGGGAAUAUUACGCAAUGAGCGAAAGCAUGAAGACGCACAAACACGUGAGGGAUGAAGGUCUUCGGAUUGUAAACCUCUGUCAGCAGGGAAGAACGGUCACUGUGAUAAUCAGCAGUGAAUUGACGGUACCUGCAAAGGAAGCACCGGCUAAUUCCGUGCCAGCAGCCGCGGUAAUACGGAGGGGGCGAGCGUUAAUCGGAAUUACUGGGCGUAAAGCGCUCGUAGGCGGUAUGUCAAGUCAAGGGUGAAAUCCCCUCGCUCAACGUGGGAACUGCCUUUGAAACUGGCAAACUGGAGUGUGUGAGAGGAUAGUGGAAUUCCAGGUGUAGGAGUGAAAUCCGUAGAUAUCUGGAGGAACAUCAGUGGCGAAGGCGAAUAUCUGGCACAUAACUGACGCUGAGGAGCGAAAGCGUGGGUAGCAAACAGGAUUAGAUACCCUUGUAGUC
rnacentral:rRNA from 1 species